rnacentral:rRNA from 1 species
UGGGGAAUUUUGGACAAUGGGCGAAAGCCUGAUCCAGCAAUGCCGCGUGUGUGAAGAAGGCCUUCGGGUUGUAAAGCACUUUUGUCCGGAAAGAAAUCCUUGGCUCUAAUACAGUCGGGGGAUGACGGUACCGGAAGAAUAAGCACCGGCUAACUACGUGCCAGCAGCCGCGGUAAUACGUAGGGUGCAAGCGUUAAUCGGAAUUACUGGGCGUAAAGCGUGCGCAGGCGGUUUGCUAAGACCGAUGUGAAAUCCCCGGGCUCAACCUGGGAACUGCAUUGGUGACUGGCAGGCUAGAGUAUGGCAGAGGGGGGUAGAAUUCCACGUGUAGCAGUGAAAUGCGUAGAGAUGUGGAGGAAUACCGAUGGCGAAGGCAGCCCCCUGGGCCAAUACUGACGCUCAUGCACGAAAGCGUGGGGAGCAAACAGGAUUAGAUACCCUGGUAGUCCACGCCCUAAACGAUGUCAACUAGUUGUUGGGGAUUCAUUUCCUUAGUAACGUAGCUAACGCGUGAAGUUGACCGCCUGGGGAGUACGUCGCAAGAUUAAAACUCAAAGGAAUUGACGGGGUCAUAGCUG